UACGUAGGGGGCAAGCGUUGUCCGGAAUCAUUGGGCGUAAAGAGCGCGUAGGCGGUCCGGUAAGUCCGCUCUGAAAGUCCGGGGCUCAACCCCGGGAGGCGGGCGGAUACUGUCGGGCUAGAGUCCGGAAGAGGCGAGUGGAAUUCCUGGUGUAGCGGUGAAAUGCGCAGAUAUCAGGAGGAACACCGGUGGCGAAGGCGGGACUCUGGGCCGAUACUGACGCUGAGGAGCGAAAGCGUGGGGAGCGAACAGG
rnacentral:rRNA from 1 species